CUUAAUUUUGAGUUAGCUUACAUUUUAAUCUACCUGAUUGCUGACUUCUUAAAAUUGUGUUAAUUUUUCAUCUGUUUUUCUAUUUCCUUCAGUAUAAUUACAUCGUCUUCUUAACCAAGAGAAUGUCUGUUCUUCUCCUCAGCACUGUAUCAUUAAUGAAGAUCUUUAACUGUGUUUCCAAACUCGCUACAGAAUUUAACAAAGAAGCAGAAUAUACCAGACACACAAGAAGCAAAAGAAAUGAAAUGAGCAUUCAUAACAACACGCUUAGAGCACAGAAAGCCUUAUCCUGGGUGAGUGAUCAGGAAUAUGAAUAAAGCUGAUCUGUAGGAUGGCUUUCAAUGUUUUUGUUUAGAUGUGCAGUCUUACUAUAUGUACAGGCAAGAUUACUAGAGGGAACAGUCAGUCAGCUAUCACCCAUCCUACAACCCAAGAAAAUGCUCACAGGCACCUGGGUAGUCAUAUUCAGGUGUUCUCAGUCUUUUUUCACUAGAGUUUUGAACUGCCUAUUGUAUAUUAAGGCUUGAGUUACCACUCCCAAUUUAUACCACUUUCCAAAAUCACACCACACAUUAUAAAAACAAUGAUAUGGAUUGGUAAUUACAAUAAUACACCGUCAGAGGUAAAGGGAUACAAUAUGUCAUGUAGACCAGUUAUUUCUCAACGUAUGGGUUCUAUAUCUGCAAAAUAAUGUAUUGCUUAUUACAAAUUCAGACUACUAGGCUCCAUGUCAAAACGAAUCAAUUUCAAGCCAAGGAUGGAAUCCAAGAAUCUGCAUUUUUGACAAGCUCCUUAAGAUGAUAUGUGCAUUAAGGUUUGGGAACCAUUCAUAUAGUCAAACUCCUUCAUAUGACAGAUAAGGACAUCAUAUGAGAGAAGUUAAGUGAUUUGGCCAAAGUGGACAGCCAGUCAGAGGCAGAAACCAGACUCACACUUAAAUCUUGACUCCUAAGCUACAAUUUUUCCAGUUAUAAAUAGUUUGUAUUUAUUUGUAAAUUCCCGGUACACCUAAAUGAAAACGGAAUUUGAGGUCUUUGUUCCUUGACAUUCCCCAAAGGUUUAAUACCAAUAAUUUACUAUUAAUGGGCUCCCAGCACUUGCUAAGUAAGCUGUUGUCUUCCGAUUUAGGGAAUAUCAACUAUAGAAGCUUGUGGACAAAGGUGUUUUGUUAACUUGUUACCAUCCCAUUCCCCUUCACAAUAAGACAUGCAAGUUCAUUUAUCAACAAGAGCAUAUACUCAUUUUUCUCAAAUCACAAGAGACAAUAAAAAGUAAAUGGAAAACCCUGCUACUAGUGUUAAACAAGAAUAUCCCAGCCUCUAUAACAACAUACCAUAUGGUAUUUCCCUACCUUGUUCAGUAUUUAACCUAACAAUUUAUUGCUAGGCUUCUUGGCAGCAAGCUGUGCAAGUUGAAGUGGAAUCUGAUUGAGGUGAGUUAAUUAAUGUGGUGGCAGCUCGGAAUGUUGUCCAGCUGCCAGUGAGAAUUAUGUUUGUUUGCCUUUGGCCCAAGUGUGAAAUGGCUGGCUGUUGAUUUCAGAAGUGUGAGUGUACAUUUUUAUAUCUCACAUGAAUGAAUACAUUUUUUGUAUCCUACACAUUUGGGGAAAUGCUAAAAUUUAUUGGGUCAUGUUAUUUACCACUUGUGUGGCAGAAAGAGAAAGGUGGAAUUUUGCCCCAGAGGUUGACUUUGCAUCUGUAGAAAAAGCAAAAGCAGGUGGCAUAUAAAUCCAUGAGCAGGUAAAUAAGCUGUCUGAAAUUAGCUCAUCUGGCCUAAUGUUUUAAAGAAUAACUUUUAAAAGGAGGUAGGCAAGAUUUUUGAACCAGAAAAGAAUAACUCUUGUAAUGAUGAAAGGAUUUUGAAAGUAGGAAACAUAGUUUUUAGAUUUCCCUGGAAAGACAUGGCUUUUGGAUUUACUGUUGACUUACAUUUACAAUUCUUAUUUUUACUACACACAACCUUCUAUUGAAUACAUCAUCUCACUGUGCAAUCUUCCUUUCUAUCUAUAACUGAUGACAGUGAUUUCUGUGAUGUGUUCUUAAUGUUCUUGAUAAUUUUGACUAGCUGUUACUGAUAUGAGCAGGGGGUUCUCCAAUUCAAGCAGUCAAUAACUGACACUAAACUAACAAAGUUCAAAGAACAUUUGAAGUGUGUCAGAUAUUAUUCCCCUAUUUUUUUCUAUGUAAUAUCCUGUUAAGUUAAAAUGCCUUGAGAAAAG
rnacentral:lncRNA from 1 species